rnacentral:lncRNA from 1 species
ACGAUAUUGAGUUAAAUGUGUCUUCCAUAAGAAAUGCAUUAUAUGAUUUAAAAAUUAUGCUUAAAAAAGCAUCAGUAGAAGUAGACUGAAUGAAUAACAAGUCAACUAUUCUGCUCAGAAGACAGCAUACAAUGAGCUUUAAUCAAUCAGCCCCUGUAAACCAGGAAUAUCCCUUUUUUAUAUAUACUAAACCAUUAGGAGAAACAUCAGUACUGGAAGUCAUUGCACUCAGUUUAUCUAUAUUGUAUUAUUUUCCAAAAUUGUGCCAAUUACAUUAUGGACAUGUUUCUUUUAUUACCAGCCACAGCUACUAGCCAAACC